UCUAUGCCGUAAACUUUGUACACUUGGUGUCGGGGGUCAAACCUCGGUACCGAAGCUAACGCGAUAAGUGUACCGCCUGGGGAGUAUGCCGGCAACGGUGAAACUCAAAGGAAUUGACGGGGGCCCGCACAAGCGGUGGAGCAUGUGGUUUAAUUCGAUGAUACGCGAGGAACCUUACCAGGGUUUGACAUAUUAGUGACCGUUUUAGAGAUAAGAUUUCCCUUGGGGACGCUAUUACAGGUGCUGCAUGGCUG
rnacentral:rRNA from 1 species